UGCACCCUUGAACCAAGAGGUUUUUUUUACCAGUGUAGCUAAAAAUAUGAGGGUCCGUCCAAACCGCAGCCCUCUACGUUCAGUAUUGACCGAGACAUCGCCCUUCGAAAAUUCGGGAUUUCGACGUUAUCCUCCGCGGUAGUGACACCCAUGGUUUCUUGCACCUUGGGUAUCAGUCAGGGACAUAACUUAUCAUUAGUUACUCUGCGUGAAACGCGAAUGGAAAGCAAGGCGGAAAAAACAGGGGGUGUUAAUACCGCGGUGGUUGCCGUCAAAAACCUAACUUUUCUAUGCACAAUAUCUCGGUUAUUUUUGAACGUAGUAAGUCGCGCAUUAGACAGAUUAGCUAAACCACAAGGAUUAAGCAUCAAAACCAAAUUCUGUGACGUGCGUCCGGCGCAUUUUCAGCAAUAACUGAAAAUGAUCCAAGAACCAACACUAUACAGUCUCUGGUGGCGUAAUUCGCUCCAUUUGGCUUUUUCCGAAAUUUCUGCUUCGCACUUCGCAGCAGGAGCACUGUGCUCGCAGCGUCCCAUGAUUGUCGAUAGACGUCGCAGGUGAACUCUCACACUAUUGGUCCUCCCUGGAAGGCACGGGAGAAUGCAUCAAUAACAAGACCUGGAUUGCAAGUAAGUAAUCAAUUUAUCCUAAGUUCUAUAAUUGUUUCAAAAGUAAUUUACAAAAGUUGGACGCGUGUUGGAAGUAUCUGUAUUGGAAUUAUCAGUACGCGGUACUGGUUUAUUAGGCGGUUUGUUGUUAGUCAAUAAACAAGCAGUGGAUCACUCAAGAAAGUGAAUACUAAUAAAUUAAUGAAGAAAAUGACUUUGAUGAAAAUUGUAGGCAUGUGUAUUUUUCUUUGAUUCCAAAGAAAUUUAAAAAUAAACUAACUUCUUUCAGCGUGGCAGGGGUCCAACGCGUAACCUUCACGUAUAUUCUCCCACCAAUACAUGCAACCUGUCUUUCAUGCAGUCCUUUAAGCAGCCGAGCAAUUUGCUUAAAGUGCACUACCGGCAUUAUGCCUUCCACGCCCUUUUGGAGCGUCAUUAUUCUCAAAUCGGAGUCGAAAAAAUGGACGGGGGUAUACUGCGCUUUUACUCGUAGCUUAAGAUGGGGCGGGUUUAUCUGCGGAACUAUUAUAUUCUUAAGUUUUGUUCCCCACACUUCUUCGUUGGUGCUGUAACAUAGAACGGGUUGAAUUCUUGUAUUCUUUCGAGUUGGACGAAACUCCCAGUCCUUGAAUUAAAAAAAUCAACCCAGAUAUAAUCUUCUGAGUGCGGCUUCGUUUAAGGAAUGUCAUUACCUAUGGCGUUUAACAGGAAAUCACAUGGCCAUUAUAAAAAAUAUAGAACGGGAAAAAAGGGAAUAAAAUCAAAAGACACCAAGUGUAUCUUUCAUUUUCUCUGAAUAUUCAGCGGCUUUGCCAACAAAUUUGUUGGAGUUGUGUCCUUGGUUAGUACAAUGGACUAAUGGCAGAUUCUGAAAUAACGUGUGUCAGUUGCUUUUUACAAGAGCCAUGUUUUCGCUUGCAACCCAGUCUCGAAGGGAUUGCACAUCUCGCUUUAAUUUCGAUAUCUCGAAAGUCGAAACGUGCCCCGACAAACGAAUAUACGAACCUGCGGACGCCCAUUAUAUGCAUCGCAAGGUUACCCUUUGUUUUAAAUGCCUUUGAGGAAGACUCGAAAUACCCAUGCGCGUGUGGUGACUCCGCUUCGAAGGAGUUUCCCACUUGAGCAAUUACAAUAGGGUGGAGGGGGGGGGGCUGUCACUGAAAACAUCUUGCCUCGCUAAGUGAAAAUAAAUUAUAAUUUAUAGCAUCACAACAUCAAUCACCCCACACGGCUCCCUGAACCAUGGCACAUCGGGGAGAUCGUCGGAGGGAGUCCGUUCCCGUUGAAAUGACGGCAUAGGGUUCGCGGCGAGCGAGGCCCUCUUGAAGUGUGAAUACUAAAUUUAUAGAUCUCCUCCCGAGUCUAAAACACUGACGGUACAACCACGAUUUAUCUCUACGCAUAUGGAGUCUACCGAAGAAUUCAAAUGAUGCAGAUUAUAAAGGUACUCUAAUUAUCUACACAAAAUCCGAAAUUCAAAUCAUGGAAAA